GUCCCUGUAGCGCAAUGGAGAGCGCGUUGGACUUCUAAUCCAAAGGUCGUGGGUUCGAAAACCACCUGGAAUG
rnacentral:tRNA from 1 species